AGGGAGACCCCACGUGCCUGGUGUCGCUGGGCUGCCUUGCGCCGUCCCCCAGGCCAGACCUGGCUCCGUUCCUCGUGGGGCUGCGGGGGCUGCUCUGACUUGUGUUUUCCUUCUCUGCUUCCUUCCUCCAGUGGCGAAAGAAGCGGAUGCGCAGGCUGAAGCGCAAGAGGAGAAAGAUGAGGCAGAGGUCUAAGUAGACAUCUUCUCUGGAGCUGCUGCUGAGGCUUCAAAGUGGAGCAUAGGAUGUCGGAGCCAGGGGUGCUGCUCUGUAAGCCAGGCCGACCUGCUUCUGGGAUGCAGAGAGAUGACAACCCUGUUUCCCAGCAGUCGCCUUGGGCCAAAGUGUGGAAGACCUGGCCCCUGCGGGUGCACCCUGAGCUUGGGUGUUCUGGACUGGCUCCGUUCUUGUAGCUGGAUGUAGCAAGCGUCCCAGAAAUAAACCCAGUUUGGUUGGGAAUUCUA